rnacentral:rRNA from 1 species
UACAGAGGGUGCGAGCGUUGUCCGGAAUCACUGGGCGUAAAGGGCGCGUAGGCGGGCUGCCGCGUCCGGGGUGAAAUCCUCCGGCUCAACCGGGGAAGGGCCUCGGAUACGGGCGGCCUGGAGUGGGGUAGGGGCGUGCGGAACUGUGGGUGGAGCGGUGAAAUGCGUUGAGAUCCACAGGAACUCCGGUGGCGAAGGCGGCACGCUGGACCCUUUCUGACGCUGAGGCGCGAAAGCCAGGGGAGCGAACGGG